AAACAACUUCGCCUUCUGAACUUCCUAUAUUGGGUGAUAUCAGUCAGAUCGAUUUAUCAAUUCAUUCAGCAACGCACGAUUACUUUACUCUUUCUGGCAAGAAACUUUUGUUACACAAACCUUUGGACCGUGAUGUACAAAAUCUGGCUUCGAUUCGACUACAGGUUGGAUGUCGAGACAAGUUGACGUUCGUAACUAAAAGCGUCCCAGUGCUUGUGCGUAUUGUUGAUAUCAAUGAUAAUCCACCAGAAUUUACGUCAUUGUCUUAUA